UCAGGGACACGACCUGGCUCUUCUGGUCGCAGUUCACAAAGGCCUGGCUGGGGCCUUCGUCCUGGCUGGGCAGGGUCCUGCAGCCUUUGUUGCUCCACUUACACCAGUACUUCUCAUAGGAGUAGAAUUUGCAGGGGAAGUGGCAGGAGAUCUUGAGGGUCUCUCCCAGCGAAGCCUUGACAUUCUUGGGUACCUUGAGGCUUGGUUCUCCUGGAGCAGGGAGGGAGAAAUAGGCACAGAAGUCGGCGCUGGUGAUGCUGCAGAAAAGUGACGGGGGGACUAGGGGGGUGCUUUGUCCACAGCCCAUUUCCUCUUUGGACAGCAUGGUAAAUAAACACACUAUACUGAACACAAAAGCACUUGUAAUUAUGUGUCUAUAAUAGAUUAUUGGUGACCACCGUGAGUCACUCUAGUCUAUCACAGACCAUAGACCUUGCUAAUGACUUCAAUUUGCUUUCCUCGUUGUUAUCUGCUCUCCUAGACUCAAGACAGCCAUACUCUACUCAGCUGACGCCGUAUAUACUGUAAAAGAAGCCGAUACUCUUGAUCGCUGGAGGUGUGGUAGUUUGAAGAAUGUGGGGCAGGAAAGGGUUUGUUACAGAGCCCAGCACUGGAGCCUUCACCCAGCCUCCAGGAGACUUCCCCACUGGUCUGGCGACCUUGAUUCCUUCCCCACCUUAUUCUGAGCAGAGAAUGGAAGGGGUGUAAAGAGAGACUAUUAGCCUUUCUCCUUAGGCUUCUUACAAAAUCUCCCCCUAGGUCUCACCUUCAUUGACGAAGAGUUGCCAGGCCUGGGUGGGCCAGCCUUCCUGAGGCUCACCAUCAGGGUUGGCUCCGCACAGGUAGAGCCCCGCAUCCUCUUUCCUCAGGCUGGUGACAAGCACUCUGAAGCCAUCAUCCUUGAGAGUGAACAGGAUCCUGCCCUCAAAGUCCUGAGCCUUCUUCCCCAGCGUGUUGAAGAUCACACUGCAAGCUUCCGCAUUUUUUACCUGGCACAGAAAUUGGGCCACAUUUGCCUUCUCGGGGCCCAGGGCACAGUCAAAGGUCACUGAGCCCCUCAGGUCUCCAUAAAUCAGCUCACGCUUGGGCUUCAGCACUUGGAGGUCAGCAUUGCUCUUGUCGGCGUUGGCAUCAUCCCCAGCCUGGCAGACGUACAUCCCAGCAUCGUUGAGCUGGAUGUGGUUGAUGUCAACGCUGAACGCUAAUUCGUUGGUACCCUGAAUAUUGAGAUGUACUCUGUGGCUGUAGCUGGGGCUCACAUACCCAGUAGAGUCGGUGACUAGCACGCAGCUCUGGCCUGUCUUCUUGCACAUAGAUUUCUUCUUCUCAGAAUUCACAGCCUUGAAAGGGCAGUUGAUGGUCACUUUUCUGCCCAGUUCUGCUGUGUAGACGUGGACGCCAUUUAUCUGCCCAGGAGCUGCAGAAUGAGGGGUGGGGGAUUAAAAUAUUAAGAGCCACAAGGAUAAGUCAUUUCCCCAAAACCCCCAAACAAAGCAACUCAUAGUGAUGCUUCGUUCAAGGUCAAGGUCUUAUUUUCUUUAUUCCCAGUGAAGAUCCUUCACCAGACCCCUGACCUUCAAAUGUGGGAGCGCCAUUUCUGUUCCCCAUCCCCAGCGCUGGCUCACCAAUCCAUUUUCAGAUGUGGCCUCUCUGCAUCGUCUGUGCGGUUACUCCUCAAGGGAGUCCAGGCUUUGCAAAGGACAUCCUUGGGGACAGGCCUGAUUUCAGAGCCCCCAGGGAACUGGGUCUGGGAUGGGGGUGGGCUGGGACCUGGCCGACGCACCUGGGAAGACAGCCAGCAGGCAGGCGAAGAAGAGGCGCGACAUCGCUGGAGGAUCCCGUGGGGCUGUGCCACCCAGGCCGCCUUCUUGAGUGGUUGCUGAAAGACAAUAGCAUGAGGUGAUGGAGUGCCUUUGUCUUCCAAGACUAGCUGACCGAGUUCCUGCAACACCUGUUCGAUUUUGUAUCUCCAGUAACCGACAUAAAACCUGUGGAAGAAUGAAUGGCUCCGCCUUUCCCAUUACAGUUCAAAGUCCCAUUAUCCACAAUGCUUCUUUGUUCCUUAAUAGGUAUAAGUAGAUUUUCAUCUUCUCAACUAAGCUGCAAAGUUCCUUUGGGGUAGGGACACGCACAUGGGUCAUUUCCUCUCUAUCCCUGUCCGGGGGUCACGGUCCUGGGCAAGAUCCGUUACAGCUCAGGAACAGCUCACCGGAUAAUUGGUUACUACCAAGAAAUGGCUCCAUCCCUCUGUUCCAGCCGCCCUCCCUACACCCCUGGAAGGUGGAGGGGGGCUGGCAUAUUUUAUGGCGUGUCAUAUGAGUAAGUAGAGAUGCAUAGAGGCAGCCUAGCAAGGAUGAAAGUGAUGAUGAUGGUCGUAACCACCAUGAAUGGUCUUUGUACCAUG